rnacentral:rRNA from 1 species
UACGUAGGGUGCGCGCGUUAAUCGGAAUUACUGGGCGUAAAGCGUGCGCAGGCGGUGAUGUAAGACAGAUGUGAAAUCCCCGGGCUCAACCUGGGAACUGCAUUUGUGACUGCAUCGCUGGAGUGCGGCAGAGGGGGAUGGAAUUCCGCGUGUAGCAGUGAAAUGCGUAGAUAUGCGGAGGAACACCGAUGGCGAAGGCAAUCCCCUGGGCCUGCACUGACGCUCAUGCACGAAAGCGUGGGGAGCAAACAGG